rnacentral:rRNA from 1 species
GGCGGCGUGCCUAAUACAUGCAAGUCGAGCGAGCGGAACUAACAUAUUUACUUCGGUAAUGACGUUAGGAAAGCGAGCGGCGGAUGGGUGAGUAACACGUGAGGAACCUGCCCCAUAGUCUGGGAUACCACUUGGAAACAGGUGCUAAUACCGGAUAAGAAAGCAGAUCGCAUGAUCAGCUUUUAAAAGGCGGCGUAAGCUGUCGCUAUGGGAUGGCCCCGCGGUGCAUUAGCUAGUUGGUAAGGUAAAGGCUUACCAAGGCGAUGAUGCAUAGCCGAGUUGAGAGACUGAUCGGCCACAUUGGGACUGAGACACGGCCCAAACUCCUACGGGAGGCAGCAGUAGGGAAUCUUCCACAAUGGACGCAAGUCUGAUGGAGCAACGCCGCGUGAGUGAAGAAGGUUUUCGGAUCGUAAAGCUCUGUUGUUGGUGAAGAAGGAUAGAGGUAGUAACUGGCCUUUAUUUGACGGUAAUCAACCAGAAAGUCACGGCUAACUACGUGCCAGCAGCCGCGGUAAUACGUAGGUGGCAAGCGUUGUCCGCAUUUAUUGGGCGUAAAGCGAGCGCAGGCGGAAGAAUAAGUCUGAUGUGAAAGCCCUCGGCUUAACCGAGGAACUGCAUCGGAAACUGUUUUUCUUGAGUGCAGAAGAGGAGAGUGGAACUCCAUGUGUAGCGGUGGAAUGCGUAGAUAUAUGGAAGAACACCAGUGGCGAAGGCGGCUCUCUGGUCUGCAACUGACGCUGAGGCUCGAAAGCAUGGGUAGCGAACAGGAUUAGAUACCCUGGUAGUCCAUGCCGUAAACGAUGAGUGCUAAGUGUUGGGAGGUUUCCGCCUCUCAGUGCUGCAGCUAACGCAUUAAGCACUCCGCCUGGGGAGUACGACCGCAAGGUUGAAACUCAAAGGAAUUGACGGGGGCCCGCACAAGCGGUGGAGCAUGUGGUUUAAUUCGAAGCAACGCGAAGAACCUUACCAGGUCUUGACAUCUAGUGUCAUUUGUAGAGAUACAAAGUUCCCUUCGGGGACGCUAAGACAGGUGGUGCAUGGCUGUCGUCAGCUCGUGUCGUGAGAUGUUGGGUUAAGUCCCGCAACGAGCGCAACCCUUGUUAUUAGUUGCCAGCAUUAAGUUGGGCACUCUAAUGAGACUGCCGGUGACAAACCGGAGGAAGGUGGGGAUGACGUCAAGUCAUCAUGCCCCUUAUGACCUGGGCUACACACGUGCUACAAUGGGCAGUACAACGAGAAGCGAGCCUGCGAAGGCAAGCGAAUCUCUGAAAGCUGUUCUCAGUUCGGACUGCAGUCUGCAACUCGACUGCACGAAGCUGGAAUCGCUAGUAAUCGCGGAUCAGCACGCCGCGGUGAAUACGUUCCCGGGCCUUGUACACACCGCCCGUCACACCAUGGGAGUCUGCAAUGCCCAAAGCCGGUGGCCUAACCUUCGGGAAGGAGCCGUCUAAGGCAGGGCAGAUGACUGG